GGAAGAGCUCAAAUUUAUAAUCUGGCACCUUCGGUGUCCGAGUUGUAAUCUCUAGAAAUGUUUUCCGCGUUGGACCGCACACAAGUCUGUUGGAAUACAGCGGCAUAGUGGUGAGACCCCCGUAUAUGGUGCGGACGCCCAGCGCUUUGUGAUACAUUUUCGAAGAGUCGAGUUGUUUGGGAAUGCAGCUCAAAUUGGGUGGUAAAUUCCAUCUAAAGCUAAAUAUUGGCGAGAGACCGAUAGCGAACAAGUACCGUGAGGGAAAGAUGAAAAGCACUUUGGAAAGAGAGUUAACAGUACGUGAAAUUGUUGGAAGGGAAACGCUUGAAGUCAGACUUGCUUGCCGAGCAAUCGGUUUGCAGGCCAGCAUCAGUUUUCCGGGAUGGAUAAUGGUAGAGAGAAGGUAGCAGUUUCGGCUGUGUUAUAGCUCUCUGCUGGAUACAUCUUGGGGGACUGAGGAACGCAG
rnacentral:rRNA from 1 species